rnacentral:lncRNA from 1 species
UUACUUACAAGCUUCUUAAUGUCUUCCUCACACAUGGCUGGUCAGUCACGUUGAUGACCAUCACGAUUUAGGUGACGCUGAUUGACUUUGUCAUUGGUUCGCAAGGGUUGACCUUCUCGAUUGUCCUACCUAGGGGGCAUGUUGGUGGACUGCGCUUGCGAGGGAUUUUAUGUAUCUUGUCGACAGGUAUUGGUUCUUU